rnacentral:rRNA from 1 species
AACGAACGCUGGCGGCAUGCCUAACACAUGCAAGUCGAACGGAUCCUUCGGGAUUAGUGGCGCACGGGUGCGUAACGCGUGGGAAUCUGCCCUGGGGUACGGAAUAACUCAGCGAAAGUUGUGCUAAUACCGUAUGAUGUCUUCGGACCAAAGAUUUAUCGCCCUGGGAUGAGCCCGCGUAGGAUUAGCUAGUUGGUGAGGUAAAGGCUCACCAAGGCGACGAUCCUUAGCUGGUCUGUGAGGAUGAGCAGCCACACUGGGACUGAGACACGGCCCAGACUCCUACGGGAGGCAGCAGUGGGGAAUAUUGGACAAUGGGCGCAAGCCUGAUCCAGCAAUGCCGCGUGAGUGAUGAAGGCCUUAGGGUUGUAAAGCUCUUUUACCCGGGAAGAUAAUGACUGUACCGGGAGAAUAAGCCCCGGCUAACUCCGUGCCAGCCGCCGCGGUAA